rnacentral:rRNA from 1 species
GACGAACGCUGGCGGCAGGCUUAACACAUGCAAGUCGCACGAGAACGCUCCGGCUUCGGCCGGGGCAAGUACAGUGGCGGACGGGUGCGUAUCGCGUAGAUAACCUGCCCACAGGCGCGGGAUAACCACGGGAGACCGUGGCUAAUACCGCACGUCGUCUGGACCCCGCAUGGGGACCAGAUGAAAGCCUUCGGGCGCCUUUGGAUGGGUCUACGUUGGAUUAGCUUGUUGGUGAGGCAACGGCUCACCAAGGCAACGAUCCAUAGCUGGUCUGAGAGGACGAUCAGCCACACUGGGACUGAGACACGGCCCAGACUCCUACGGGAGGCAGCAGUGGGGAAUCUUGCACAAUGGGGUCACCCCUGAUGCAGCCAUGCCGCGUGGAGGAAGACACCCCUAUGGGGCGUAAACUCCUUUUCUGAAUGAAGAAACCCCUGUAGGUUCAGGGCGCGACGGUAGUUCAGGAAUAAGCACCGGCUAACUCCGUGCCGGCAGCCGCGGUAAUACGGAGGGUGCAAGCGUUGUCCGGAAUCACUGGGUGUAAAGGGUGUGCAGGCGGGGCAACAAGUCGGAUGUGAAACCCCAUGGCUCAACCAUGGAGGUGCAUUCGAAACUGUUGCUCUUGAGUCCCGGAGAGGCUGUCGGAAUUCGUGGUGUAGCGGUGAAAUGCGUAGAUAUCACGAGGAACACCAGAGGCGAAAGCGGGCAGCUGGACGGGUACUGACGCUCAGGCACGAAAGUGUGGGGAGCAAACAGGAUUAGAUACCCUGGUAGUCCACGCCGUAAACGAUGAACGCUCGCCGUUGCCCCGGUUAAGGGGCAGUGGCUAAGUUAACGCGUUAAGCGUUCCACCUGGGGAGUACGAUCGCAAGGUUGAAACUCAAAGGAAUUGACGGGGGCCCGCACAAGCGGUGGAGCAUGUGGCUCAAUUCGAUGCAACGCGAAGAACCUUACCUAGGCUCGAACGCUAAAGGACCGCUCCUGAAAGGGAGCUUCCCCUUUGGGGCCUUUAGCGAGGUACUGCAUGGCUGUCGUCAGCUCGUGUCGUGAGAUGUUGGGUUAAGUCCCGCAACGAGCGUAACCCUUGUCGCUAGUUACCAGCGGGUAAUGCCGGGGACUCUAGUGAGACCGCCUGCGCAAGCAGUGAGGAAGGUGGGGAUGACGUCAAGUCAUCAUGGUCCUUACGCCUAGGGCUGCACACGUGCUACAAUGGCCGGUACAACGAGCAGCCACCUCGCGAGAGGGAGCGAAUCUCUGAAAGCCGGUCCCAGUUCGGAUUGGAGUCUGCAACUCGACUCCAUGAAGCAGGAAUCGCUAGUAAUCGCGGAUCAGCAAUGCCGCGAUGAAUCCGUUCCCGGGCCUUGUACACACCGCCCGUCAAGCCAUGGAAGCUGAGAGCACCCGAAGUCCGUGACUCAACUCCGGCGUUAGCUGGAGGGAGAGCGGCCGAAGGUGAGCUCAGUGACUGGGGCU